rnacentral:rRNA from 1 species
UGGGGAAUAUUGCACAAUGGGCGCAAGCCUGAUGCAGCCAUGCCGCGUGUAUGAAGAAGGCCUUCGGGUUGUAAAGUACUUUCAGCGGGGAGGAAGGCGAUAAGGUUAAUAACCUUGACGAUUGACGUUACCCGCAGAAGAAGCACCGGCUAACUCCGUGCCAGCAGCCGCGGUAAUACGGAGGGUGAAAGCGUUAAUCGGCAUUACUGGGCGUAAAGCGCACGCAGGCGGUCUGUCAAGUCGGAUGUGAAAUCCCCGGGCUCAACCUGGGAACUGCAUUCGAAACUGGCAGGCUAGAGUCUUGUAGAGGGGGGUAGAAUUCCAGGUGUAGCGGUGAAAUGCGUAGAGAUCUGGAGGAAUACCGGUGGCGAAGGCGGCCCCCUGGACAAAGACUGACGCUCAGGUGCGAAAGCGUGGGGAGCAAACA